rnacentral:rRNA from 1 species
UACGUAUGGUGCAAGCGUUAUCCGGAUUUACUGGGUGUAAAGGGAGUGCAGGCGGUGCGGCAAGUCUGAUGUGAAAGCCCGGGGCUCAACCCCGGUACUGCAUUGGAAACUGUCGUACUAGAGUGUCGGAGGGGUAAGUGGAAUUCCUAGUGUAGCGGUGAAAUGCGUAGAUAUUAGGAGGAACACCAGUGGCGAAGGCGGCUUACUGGACGAUAACUGACGCUGAGGCUCGAAAGCGUGGGGAGCAAACAGG